rnacentral:rRNA from 1 species
UGGGGAAUCUUCCGCAAUGGGCGAAAGCCUGACGGAGCAACGCCGCGUGAGUGAAGACGGCCUUCGGGUUGUAAAACUCUGUGAUUCGGGACGAAAGAUAAGCAGACGAAUAAUCUGCAUAAGUGACGGUACCGAAAAAGCAAGCCACGGCUAACUACGUGCCAGCAGCCGCGGUAAUACGUAGGUGGCAAGCGUUGUCCGGAAUUAUUGGGCGUAAAGCGCGCGCAGGCGGCUACUUAAGUCCAUCUUAAAAGUGCGGGGCUUAACCCCGUGAUGGGAUGGAAACUGAGAAGCUGGAGUGUCGGAGAGGAAAGUGGAAUUCCUAGUGUAGCGGUGAAAUGCGUAGAGAUUAGGAAGAACACCGGUGGCGAAGGCGACUUUCUGGACGACAACUGACGCUUAGGCGCGAAAGCGUGGGUAGCAAACAGG